UUGCAAAUGGAUCUUACAGACGUUGUCACAGAGACAAGAAAAGCAUAUAAAAAAAUAAAUAAAGAUGAGCUCCUUUCAAGGUGACUGACUAGAAGCAGCUGGUGUGUGCUGCUCUCACAAAGAGAAGAAAGAGUGGUGAGUGGACCAUCCAGGUGGACACAUUGGGAUUCAUCAAGGAAACAAUACACAGAAAACAGAAGAAUGAGACAGGACAAUCAUUCACCCAGAAGUGGCAUAGAGCCGGGAGAUGGCCCUCACCAUGGUUAGUAAGUGAGAGUCCCCAGGGAGUCACAUUUCUGCCACAGACCUUUGCAACCCUGGGCCCAGGCGAUCCCCCAUGACACCCGUGCCCCACCAGGGCCUCUGGACUGACA
rnacentral:lncRNA from 1 species